rnacentral:rRNA from 1 species
CCUACGGGAGGCUGCAGUGGGGAAUUUUGGACAAUGGGGGAAACCCUGAUCCAGCCAUUCCGCGUGAGUGUAGAAGGCCUUCGGGUUGUAAAGCUCUUUCGGCAGGAACGAAACGGCGGACUCUAACAUAGUCUGUCAAUGACGGUACCUGAAGAAGAGGCACCGGCUAACUACGUGCCAGCAGCCGCGGUAAUACGUAGGGUGCGAGCGUUAAUCGGAAUUACUGGGCGUAAAGCGUGCGCAGGCGGCUUUGUAAGACGGAUGUAAAAUCCCUGGGCUUAACCAAGGAACUGCGUUCGUGACUGCAAAGCUAGAGUGCGGCAGAGGGGGGUGGAAUUCCUGGUGUAGAAGUAAAAUGCGUAGAGAUCAGGAGGAACACCGAUGGCGAAGGCAGCCCCCGGGGUUGAAACUGACGCUCAUGCACGAAAGCGGGGGGAGCAAACAGGAUUAGAUACCCGGGUAGU